GAUGAACGCUAGCGGCAGGCUUAACACAUGCAAGUCGAGGGGUAUAGUUCUUCGGAGCUAGAGACCGGCGCACGGGUGCGUAACGCGUAUGCAAUCUACCUUUUGCAGAGGGAUAGCCCAGAGAAAUUUGGAUUAAUACCUCAUGGUAUGUGAGAAUGGCAUCAUUUUCACAUUAAAGUAACAACGGCAAAAGAUGAGCAUGCGUCCCAUUAGCUAGGUGGUAAGGUAACGGCUUACCAAGGCAACGAUGGGUAGGGGUCCUGAGAGGGAGUUCCCCCACACUGGUACUGAGACACGGACCAGACUCCUACGGGGGGCAGCAGUGAGGAAUAUUGGACAAUGGGCGCAAGCCUGAUCCAGCCAUGCCGCGUGCAGGAUGACGGUCCUAUGGAUUGUAAACCGCUUUUGUACAGGAAGAAACACUGGUUCGUGAACCAGCUUGGCGGUACUGUAAGAAUAAGGAUCGGCUAACUCCGUGCCAGCCGCCGCCGUAAGAC
rnacentral:rRNA from 1 species